rnacentral:tRNA from 1 species
UGGCCCACGAUCGGAUUCGAACCGAUAACCCUACAGUUAUGAGCUGUGCGCACUACCAUUGUGCUACGGGGCC